rnacentral:rRNA from 1 species
GACGAACGCUGGCGGCGUGCUUAACACAUGCAAGUCGAGCGGUAAGGCCCUUUCGGGGGUACACGAGCGGCGAACGGGUGAGUAACACGUGGGUGACCUGCCCUCAGCUCUGGGAUAAGCCCGGGAAACUGGGUCUAAUACCGGAUAUGACUCCACGGUGCAUGUCGUGGGGUGGAAAGCCUUGUGCGGCUGAGGAUGGGCCCGCGGCCUAUCAGCUUGUUGGUGGGGUGAUGGCCACCAAGGCGACGACGGGUAGCCGGCCUGAGAGGGCGACCGGCCACACUGGGACUGAGACACGGCCCAGACUCCUACGGGAGGCAGCAGUGGGGAAUCUUGCGCAAUGGGCGAAAGCCUGACCCAGCCACGCCGCGUGAGUGAUGAAGGCCUCGGUCGUAAG